rnacentral:rRNA from 1 species
CAGUCGCCGCGGGAAUACGAAGGGUGCAAGCGUUAAUCGGAGUUACUGGGCGUAAAGCGUGCGUAGGCGGUGAGUUAAGUCUGCUGUGAAAUCCCCGGGCUCAACCUGGGAAUGGCAGUGGAUACUGGCUCGCUAGAGUGUGUCAGAGGAUGGUGGAAUUCCCGGUGUAGCGGUGAAAUGCGUAGAGAUCGGGAGGAACAUCAGUGGCGAAGGCGGCCAUCUGGGACAACACUGACGCUGAGGCACGAAAGCGUGGGGAGCAAACAGGAUUAGAUACCCCGGUAGUCCCUGUCUCUUAUAC